UCAAACUUGGUCAUUUAGAGGAAGUAAAAGUCGUAACAAGGUUUCCGUAGGUGAACCUGCGGAAGGAUCAUUAUCGAGUCUCUUUGCCAAAAACUUGGACUGGCAGUGCAUUUAUUUGCACGCCUACUUCGAGUUUUACUAUGGCAUCUGACUACACACACCUGUGCACCUUUGGCAUUGUCUUCUCCGCUCAGGACUUGUGUCCUGUCCACUUUUCGAAGUGGGAUUGCGGCGUUGCUUUCAUUAGCUCGCCUUUGCGGGAAGCGUGUCUUUUUUUACACCUUUAUUGUAUGUCUUUUGAAAACCUUCGAUUGCUCUGUAAUGGAGUGGUUGUUAAAAUAAAUACAACUUUCAGCAACGGAUCUCUUGGCUCUCCCAUCGAUGAAGAACGCAGC
rnacentral:misc_RNA from 1 species